rnacentral:siRNA from 1 species
CGCAUCCCGGAUUGUAUGAUGCC